rnacentral:ncRNA from 1 species
UGAUUGAAGGGAAAUCCCAGGAUGGCUUGUAGUUCCCCAGCCCAGCCUAGAUUCCAAUGUCUAGGGCUGCAGAACUUUCGGUCACUCAAUCAAGUAUUUUAGCCGACGUACGGAUGAGCAAUAUGUAGGGAUCUGCAUCUAGGUGAAAAAAAUAUAUAUCAAUUGUGAGCCCUUCGUUGCUCAACGUGAAAAGUCUAGAGAUAAGUCUAAGUCUCAUGAAGUAGUUGGUGUGGUAAAGCGCGCGAAGCCGAUGACAACCGGUAGUUGAUUUGAUAGAUCAAUCAACCACAUUGGCACUGAGACAAGGGUCAAGACCCAUGUGAGAGCUACAGUGAGGAAUUAUGAACAAUUCGCAAAAAUUGAAUUCAGCCUGGAUUCAGUUGUCUUAAAGCUCAGGUUUAAAUUAUUGGAGUAGGAGAGGCAAAGACCACAGUAUGCUGGCAGCCGCAAUAAAACUGCUCUCUCUAGUCUAUCCCAUGAAUAUUCGGUGUAAAGGGUGUGUAGAUGUUUUGUUGCGUUUAAACUAAAAGUCCAAGGCUUGAUCUUAGGGAUAUGUAGAGAAGUGGUAGAGCUUGGGUGCAACAGAUGUUUCUGGAAUAUUCCAAGAGUAGUACUAAAAGGUUCAAUUUUAAUAUUUAGAGGAAUAGUGGAAUACCGAAGAGAAAGCAAAAUUUCUGGGUUGCAACUGACGCUGAGGUAUGAAAUCUACGGAAACAAAAAGGAUUAGAUACACAAUUAGCCGUAAACAAUAGAAUACAUAGUGGUAAACAAUAGAAGUUACAUGUGGUUAUUUCUCGUGAUGUAAGAUUUGUUCCUCC